UUUCCUCUCCCUCCCUCUCUCUCUCUCUCUCUCUCUCUCUCUCCGUUUCGCCUGUGGAAAACCAUGUCUGCCGUAGUGCUUGGCAUUCCUGCGGUUUGACUUUGACACUUCCUGUCCUAAACGAGAAUCGCGGCUGCAAGUAAAGAACAUUCCUACAGUCUUGUAGUUUUUCUUCUUCUUCGUCUUAACUUUGUUCAUUUUAUUAGUUCAGUUUUGUAUUUCUUGAAUGAAAAGAACGUUAGCCUCUUAUGUAAGUAUGUCAUGUAUUUAUAUAGAGUUUUAAAUUACUGUUGUUUGUUCACUGGCAUAAUAACAACACACUAUGCCUAAUUGUAGAUGUAAGAGAAUGAAUUGGACUGUUGGUAAUAGUACCAGAACCACAGGCCAAUUUCAACCCUAGCUAAUACAGGUAGUACAACCACAAAGUUACCAUGUCUCAUUCAUUCAGUGUCCCUUUACACACUGUACACACAUGUGCGCUCACACAAACAUAUACUGAACACAAACACAAUGACCCCCCCUCCCCCCACACACACACACCCUCCACCCACACAUAUACACACAGCAUUUACCUUACAUUGCUUAUGUGUACCUGUGCAACGUAACAACCAUACAGACAGACAGACACUGUUAACCAAGUUCUCUCACAAUGGGGCUACUGACUGACUGACUGACUGGCUGGCUGGCUGGCUGACUGGCUGGCUGGCUGGCUGGCUGGCUGACCACAGACUGAACAAAGCUCUUUAUAGUGUCAGAAACAGGAAGCCACGUACAACGAGCUGAUUGCUCUCCUUUUCCGUUUGCUGUUUGUCAUACACCUGCCUUUAAACCCUGCUUUGUUCCUGACUUACUGGUUGCCCUUUUCCCACUGCAAACAAACACACACACAUACACACGUACACACACACACACACUAACUCUGUAAUCCAUUUAUACAGCUGCAGGUUUUCAGAGAGAGAGAGAGAGAGAGAGAGAGACAGAGAGAGACAGACAGAGAGAGACAGAGAGAGACAGAGAGACAGAGCACAUCAGCUGUGAGUUACUCCUAGAUUUUGCUUGGAGACAGACAGAUAGACAGACAGUCACCGUGCAGAUGCGUCACUGGUGUUAUUAACGAACCAGCCGGCCCCAACAACAGCUACAUUUAGAAAGUCCUGGGCUUCUCAAAAAAAUAAAAAAAACGGUGCGUGUUAUUAACGAACCAGCCGGCCCCAACAACAGCUAUAUUUAGAAAGUCCUGUGCUUCUCGAAUAAAAAAAAUAAAAAACGUCAAACAACAAUGAAAGGUGAACCGCUAAUAGAGUUUAGGUCAGCUGCCAUAACUUUGAAUUGUGGAUGGAACUUGUUCUCAUUCAGCGACAGCUAGUGGCUACAGGCUACACUUAAUGGCUACCACCUGUGCUGCAGGGAAAGUCUGUAAUUGGACAAUGUGUUUACAUGGCCAUAGAGCGUACAGAGUUUCAGAGUCACCUACUGCCCUCCUUCAACACAGAGGUUUAAAAAGGGGAAUCUGCAGUUCACAAUUAACAGGUAUAUAUUAUCAAUUUGAAAGUCCAAAAAUAUGUACCAAAAUGCAGAUUUCCCCCUUUAACCUAAACCACACUGGGAACAGUUGAUCUGUCAGUCUUCUCAACGGUCAAGCCUGGAUAUAAACAGAGUAAUAAAUCAAUCGUGCUGUGCCAAACGAUGGUAACUGCUGUUUGGGUUGUUUACAUUGCUCGUACAUCUAGGGCCAGGAGAUUCUCCUGGUCAGGUUAUGUUGUCUAGACUAACUCAGGGUCUAACCCAUACGCUUACAUUGCUGUCGCUAAGCAGACACUCUUAUCCAGACCAACUAACAGUAGUGAGUGCAUAAAUUGAAUUGAACCCACAACCCUUUGCAAGCGUCAUGCUCUACUAACUGAGCCCCACUGUGCCAUUCUGGCUAGACACUCGACAGUGAGUAGAUGAGGAUCAGGUGCCCUCCCUUGGCCCCUCCUCUCCUUCUUCCUUAAUACCGUAAACCGGUAACGUAAGUCUGACCUUUUCCUUUAACUCAACAAGAAACAACAAAAAAACAAGACAAUAAAAGGAGUGAAGACCUGUGUCCAGUAACACACGUUGUGAUCACCAAUAAAUACCCUACUUCCUGCCUCCUACGUCAUACUUCGUACUUCCUGCCUCCUACUUCCUGCUUCCUACUUCCUGCCUCCUACGCCAUACUUCCUACUUCCUGCCUCCUACGUCAUACUUCCUACUUCCUGCCUCCUACAUCAUACAUCCUACUUCCUGCCUCCUACUUCCUGCUUCCUACUUCCUGCCUCCUACGUCAUACUUCCUACUUGCUGCCUCCUACUUCCUGCUUCCUACUUCCUGCCUCCUACGUCAUACUUCCUGCCUCCUACGUCAUACUUCCUACUUCCUGCCUCCUACGUCAUACUUCCUACUUCCUGCCUCCUACUUCCUGCUUCCUACUUCCUGCCUCCUUCCCUCUCCCUCCAGCCUCCUACAUCCUGCUUCCCUGCUGUGUUAUGCUAUCCUCCUGUACGGGUCAGAUCACAUGGCCAGUUGGAUCAGACUGUUAGCGCAUCCAAUCCUCCAACCGCCACUAAUUUCAGCAUAUUUAUCCUAACAUGCAUAUAUAACUUGUUUUCUGCCUGGCCUGGCUUAACAGGUGUCUUGGGGGGCUUUUAGUGUGUGUGUGUGUGUGUGUGGGGGGGCAAGGAAGGAAGGAAGGAAGGAGGUGUGUGUUUGUGUGUGCGUGCGUGGGUUCUAUCAGGUCCUGGGGUUCCUGGCUGAACCGUGGUCCUGGCUGAACCGUGGUCCUGGCUGGCCCGUGGUCCUGGCUGAACCGUGGUCCUGGCUGGCCCGUGGUCCUGGCUCCCUCACACACACCCAGGCCCUAUGUGGCCGGACGAAACACAGCUGACGAAAAACACAAGUUUACUGGAAUCGUCUGUCCAUCCAAACGGGAAUGUGGGGACAGCAGAGGAAGGGAUUGGAACGUUUCACAGAACAAGGAAAGCCAACAUGUGUUUGGCUCAUCCUGGUUCACCUCAACCAAGGGGAAGGACUGGAGGCUGGACAUGAACCUGAACAUGGUUUACUGGCUUGGCUUCCACUGAGGAUAAAGGGCCAUUACCGGCUGACUUUUGGGUCUGACUGCUGGACAGGUGUGGAUGGGAUGAGGAAACAAGUGUGCGUGUGCACUCAUGCAUGACUACGUGUGCGUGUGUGUGUACGAGAAACACGGAGAAGGUUUUGUUGUCCGGGUUGUGGGAUAUGUGCCAGUGUGUGUGUGUGAUGUGUGUAUGUGUGUGAUGUGUGUGUGCGUGUGUGUCCGUGUGCGUGUGAUGUAUGUGUGUGUGUUUUAGGGACGAUCUCUGCGUGGAAUGUCUGCGGUGCAGACUGGAACCCCUGUCUUUCAGUCAUUCCAGAACCCUGUGACACGGCUGGCUGUGUGGAAGGACAGACCGAUGUUCUGGAACGGACAUUACCUCAACACUCUAUUCCCCACUACAGAGGAAUCUCUCUUUGAAAAGCGGAACCCCAAAAAUACAUCCCUUAAAGCUUCACCUUGAUUGAAACAGCAGAGAACCUCACUGAUACUGAAAAAAAAAAAGUAUUAUGUUUAUUUUAUAAUAUUUUGAUAUAAUUUUUUUCAGCUCUAUAGUUAACCUAUUGAAUAAAUUCAAUAGAUGUGUCACUUACGAACACAAAAGCAGAUCAUCCAUUCUCAUAAACCAUCAGAUAGUGUUAACAUUAUGGGAUGGUGAAGGAAGGGCAUUACUUUUAAUACACAUCGGUGCCCGGGGAACAGUGGGUUAACUGCUCUGCUCGGGGGCAGAACGACAUAUUUUUACCUCGACAGCUCGGGGAUUCGAUCCAGCAACCUUUCGGUUACUGGCCCAACUAGUAGUGCACACGUACAUGCAUAUAAAUAGCCAUAUACUGAAAAUACAGAAAAAUACAGGCCCAGCCUAGGAGUUUAGAUGUCAUCUAUGCAGAAAUGUUAAAUGGAUUAAUUUAUUCUGAACAGAAUUGGACACUUUGUACAUGUCUUUCAGAUAUUUUCCCAUGUUUCAGGAGAAAGGUCUACUGUUCUCAGCAGCAUGGCAUACCGAAGAGCUGGAGUUAUUAAGGAUUUCAUCAAGUUGACUUACGCAUGCAAAUCAGAGUCCAUGGAAAUACCUUCAGCUUCCCAUUCGUUAUUUACGAAAGGUUUCCUUUAGUUUACCAUUCUCUAUUUACUAAACUUUUCCUUUAGCUUCCCAUUCUCUAUUUACUAAACUUUUCCUUUAGCUUCCAUUCUCUAUUUACUAAAGGUUUCCUUUAGCUUCCCAUUCUCUAUUUACUAAACUUUUCCUUUAGCUUCCAUUCUCUAUUUACUAAACUUUUCCUUUAGCUUCCAUUCUCUAUUUACUAAACGUUUCCUUUAGCUUCCAUUCUCUAUUUACUAAAGUUUAAUUUAGCUUCCCAUUCUCUAUUUACUAAAGGUUUCCUUUAGCUUCCCAUUCUCUAUUUACUAAACUUUUCCUUUAGCUUCCAUUCUCUAUUUACUAAACUUUUCCUUUAGCUUCCAUUCUCUAUUUACUAAACUUUUCCUUUAGCUUCCAUUCUCUAUUUACUAAAGUUUAAUUUAGCUUCCCAUUCUCUAUUUACUAAAGGUUUCCUUUAUCUUCCAUUCUCUAUUUACUAAACUUUUCCUUUAGCUUCCCAUUCUCUAUUUACUAAAGGUUUCCUUUAGCUUCCCAUUCUCUAUUUACUAAACUUUUCCUUUAGCUUCCCAUUCUCUAUUUACUAAAGGUUUCCUUGGGGUGGGGUGGGCAGUCUAUGUUCUUUUUUCUAUAAUUUGGGAUUUCUGUGUUUGGCCUGGUAUGGUUCUCAAUCAGAGGCAGCUGUCAAUCGUUGUCCCUGAUUGAGAACCAUACUUAGGCAGCCUGGUUUCACCUUCACCUGAGUUGUGGGUGAUUAUUUUUCCGUUUCAGUGUUUGCACCCUUCGGGACUUUUUCGGGUUUUCAUUUUGAUUCUCUUGGUCUUUUUUGUAAUUUUGUAUUCAUUUUUCCAUUAAAUGACAUUAUGGAUACAUA